GAUGAAGAACGCAGCGAAAUGCGAUACGGAAUGUGAAUUGCAGAAUUCAGUGAAUCAUCGAGUCUUUGAACGCACAUUGCGCCCCCUGGUAUUCCGGGGGGCAUGCCUGUCCGAGCGUCAUUGCUGCCCUCAAGCACGGCUUGUGUGUUGGGCCUCCGUCCUCCUCCCGGGGGACGGGCCCGAAAGGCAGCGGCGGCACCGCGUCCGGUCCUCGAGCGUAUGGGGCUUCGUCACCCGCUCUUGUAGGCCCGGCCGGCGCUUGCCGACACAUCAAUCUUUUUUCCAGGUUGACCUCGGAUCAGGUAGGGAUACCCGCUGAACUUAAGCAUAUCAAUAAGCGGAGGA
rnacentral:misc_RNA from 1 species